rnacentral:rRNA from 1 species
AGAGUUUGAUCCUGGCUCAGAACGAACGCUGGCGGCACGUUUUAAGCAUGCAAGUCGGACGGCAGUGGGGGGCAACCCUCAUGAGAGUGGCGAACGGGUGAGUAACACGUAGGUGAUCUGCCUUGAGGCUGGGGAUAGCCUGUGGAAACACAGGGUAAUACCGAAUGUGCAGUCCUGACUUUGGUUGGGAUUGGAAAGGU